GGAUUGUGGCUCAGUGGCAGAGUGCUUGCUUAGCAUGUGUAAGGGCCUGGGUUCGAUCCUCAGCAUCA
rnacentral:tRNA from 1 species